rnacentral:rRNA from 1 species
GACAGGUGCUGCAUGGCUGUCGUCAGCUCGUGUCGUGAGAUGUUGGGUUAAGUCCCGCAACGAGCGCAACCCUCGCCUUUAGUUGCCAGCAUUCAGUUGGGCACUCUAGAGGGACUGCCGGUGUCAAACCGGAGGAAGGUGGGGAUGACGUCAAGUCCUCAUGGCCUUUAUGUCUAGGGCUACGCACGUACUACAAUGGCCGGUACAAAGGGCAGCCACUCAGCGAUGAGGCGCUAAUCCCAUAAAGCCGGUCUCAGUCCGGAUCGCAGUCUGCAACUCGACUGCGUGAAGUUGGAAUCGCUAGUAAUCGCGGAUCAGCAUGCCGCGGUGAAUACGUCCCCGGGCCUU